UGCAGCCGCUUUACACCAUACGAGAAACGGAUUGAUUUCUGUACACACACACACACACAUACAUAUAGAUUAUAUAGAUACAGAUUCGUUGAGCUUGUGGUAAUCAACAAGGAAUCGGAUUUCUAUUCGAAAGGGAUAUCUGUUCGAAAAUUGGUUGCUUUGUCGUGGUAAUCAACAAAGGAGGUUGCUUGAAACUUAUCUAGGAUUGUAAUAAGCGAUGGGUAAGAAGAAACCGGAAGACGGUGUAAGUAAAGUAGGUAAUAAAGAAGGAAAAAAGGAGAAGUUAUCUGUUUCAGCUAUGCUUGCAAGUAUGGACCAGAAACCUGAUAAGGCGAAGAAAGCAACUUCAUCGAGCUCUACGGCUCGUAAUACCAAACUGAAAGCGCCUGCUAAGGUGCAGGGGUAUACAGACAUUGAUCUUCCUCCGUCGGAUGACGAAGAAGAUGAUGUGGAGUCUGAAGAGGAGGAGAUUGAAAAGGGUGGGGUAAGGAAGCCGAGUAGGAAAGAGAGGGCUAGUGAUAGGAAUCUUGAGAUAUCGGUAACGGAUAAGGAGAUAAAGAAACGGGAGAAGAAGGAUAUGAUUGCUGCGCAGGCGGUUGAGCUGGCUAAGCAAGAGGCGAUGAGAGAUGACCAUGAUGCGUUCACGGUUGUGAUUGGAAGUCGGGCUGCGGUUCUUGAUGGUCAAGAUGAAGCUGAUGCAAAUGUGAAAGAUAUUACGGUGGAUAAUUUUUCAGUUUCAGCACGUGGAAAAGAGUUGUUGAAGAAUGCUUCUGUGAAGAUUUCUCAUGGGAAGAGGUAUGGGUUAGUGGGACCUAAUGGGAAGGGAAAGUCGACGUUGUUGAAGCUUCUUGCUUGGAGGAAGAUUCCCGUGCCUAAAAAUAUAGAUGUUCUUUUGGUGGAGCAAGAAAUAGUUGGUGAUGACAGAACGGCCCUUGAAGCUGUUGUGUCUGCAAAUGUAGAGCUUGUUGAGCUACGACAAGAAGUGGCAUCGUUGCUGGAAGCUCCUGAAGCCGAAAGUGGAAAUGAAGUUGAAGAUGGUGGUGAUUCGGGAGAGAAACUAGCUGAGUUAUAUGAAAAGUUGCAGAUUAUGGGCUCAGAUGCUGCUGAAGCCCAAGCUUCGAAGAUUCUUGCUGGGUUGGGUUUUACAAAAGUUAUGCAGACCCGUGCGACAAGGUCGUUUAGUGGUGGGUGGAGGAUGAGAAUUUCAUUGGCCCGGGCCCUUUUCAUCCAACCGACUCUUCUAUUGUUAGAUGAACCGACCAAUCAUCUUGAUCUUAGAGCUGUUCUUUGGUUAGAGGAAUACUUAUGCAGAUGGAAGAAAACACUUGUUGUUGUCUCACAUGACAGAGACUUCUUGAACACUGUCUGCAAUGAAAUAAUUCAUCUACAUGAUUUAAAACUUCAUUUAUAUCGUGGAAAUUUUGAUGAUUUUGAAAGUGGGUACGAGCAACGUCGCAAAGAAAUGAAUAAAAAGUUUGAAACUUUUGACAAACAGGUGAAAGCUGCAAAGAGGGCUGGGAACCAAAAACAACAAGAGAAAGUCAAAGAAAAAGCAAAGUUUGCUGUUAAAGAACAAAAGAAAAAAUCAAAGGGAAAAGCUGACGAAGAAGAGGAGAUACCUGAGGCCCCUCAGAGAUGGAGAGAUUAUACGGUUACAUUCCAUUUUCCCGAGCCUACUGAAUUGACACCACCAUUGUUACAGCUUGUUGACGUUAGUUUUAGCUAUCCAGAAAGAGAGGACUUUAAGUUAUCUGAAGUAGAUGUCGGGAUUGAUAUGGGUACACGUGUUGCUAUUGUGGGGCCCAAUGGAGCUGGAAAAUCGACAUUAUUGAACCUUCUCGCCGGAGACUUAAAUCCAACAGAGGGUGAAGUACGAAGGAGUCAAAAGUUGAGAAUUGGGCGGUAUUCCCAACAUUUUGUUGACCUUUUGACUAUGGGUGAAACACCUGUUCAGUAUCUUCUUCGUCUUCAUCCAGAUCAAGAAGGUUUCAGUAAGCAAGAAGCUGUUAGGGCUAAACUUGGUAAAUUCGGGCUUCCGAGCCAUAAUCACCUGACCCCAAUUGCUAAGUUAUCUGGAGGACAAAAAGCCCGUGUGGUUUUCACUUCAAUUUCCAUGUCCAGACCACACAUUUUAUUGCUGGAUGAACCCACAAAUCAUUUAGAUAUGCAGAGUAUUGAUGCACUUGCAGACGCACUUGAUGAAUUUACUGGUGGCGUUGUUCUUGUGAGUCAUGAUUCUAGGCUAAUAUCGCGUGUUUGUGCUGAUGAAGAGAAAAGUGAAAUAUGGGAGGUGGAUGAUGGAGUGGUGCUGGCAUAUGAUGGUUCUUUUGAAGAUUAUAAGCAGGAGCUCCAGAAGAAAAUCAGAGAUGAGGUCGACGAAUGAUGUGUCGGUGUUGUUUCUCGAAGCUCUUUUAACAAUGCUGUAAAUGCAACAUUUCUUGCCACAGAGUUUCAUGAAACACCAUUUGAAUUUUGAAGUAAAGCAGAUUAAAGUUGUCUUAAAAGUUAAUACUUCAAGAAAGUGAUGCAAUAGAGGCUGCCAAUAUCCAUUUUCUGCCAUGAUCUUGAUGUUAUCUGUUGAUAGUCUCAUAGCAUUUGAAAUAACGAGUAGCAAGGAAUUCACAUCAGUGGUAUACUGGGGAUGCAUGGGCUUGAUUCCUAGACCUUGUGUUGUUUAUGGCAGGACCAUUGGCUAUGCGACGACUAUUAGUAAGAAAGAAGGGUCAAAUAGUUGAACUAGUCAACAGUAAUUUCUAUGUUGCUCUAUACUUUUGGUGUUCUACAUGAUGUAAUUGUGUUUUAUCUAAACCAAAUUCAAGAUUACCUCCGUUUUAUUGUCCAGGCACCUGUUUUGUUUUGUA